rnacentral:misc_RNA from 1 species
UAAAGUGCGAUAUGUAGUGCGAUUUGCAUGAAUCUGUGAGUCAUCUAAUCUUUGAACGCAACUUGCGCCUCUCUGAGGCAUGUCUGUUUGAGUGCCGCAUACCUCGUGCAGCAAUGCGAUUUGACCAAUGUCUAUGUCUAUGUCCGAGUCUGAGUCUCUGGACUGGGCUGACCUGGUCUAAACGUAGCCAGAUGGUGGCCAGCGCUGCUAGUCGUCCGAGUGCUAAGCAUUCUUGGAUCUAGCAACACUGAACCACCCCAUCCAUCAAUUAACCAUUUUUUGGCCUCAAAUCAGGCAAGACUACCCGCUGAACUUAA